rnacentral:rRNA from 1 species
UACGUAGGUGGCAAGCGUUGUCCGGAAUUACUGGGUGUAAAGGGCGUGUAGGCGGGACGGCAAGUCAGAUGUGAAAUACCUCGGCUUAACUGGGGUGCUGCAACUGAAACUGUCGUUCUUGAGUGUCGGAGAGGAAAGUGGAAUUCCCAGUGUAGCGGUGAAAUGCGUAGAGAUUGGGAGGAACACCAGUGGCGAAGGCGGCUUUCUGGACGAUAACUGACGCUGAGGCGCGAAAGCGUGGGUAGCAAACAGG